GCCUAUAACCAUACCAUCCUGAACACCAAGCUCAUCUGAUCUCAGAAGCUAAAUAGAGUCAGGCCUGGUUAGUCCUUGGAUGGGAGAUGCUAGCUUGGAUGGGUGCUGUAGGCU
rnacentral:rRNA from 1 species